rnacentral:rRNA from 1 species
GACGAACGCUGGCGGCGUGCCUAACACAUGCAAGUCGAACGAGUGGCGAACGGGUGAGUAAUACGUGAGUAACCUGCCCUCUUGUUGGGAUAAGCCUUGGAAACGGGGUCUAAUACCCGAUAUAGGGGGAGGGGCUCGCGGCCUAUCAGCUUGGUGGUGGGGUGAUGGCCUACCAAGGCGGUGACGGGUAGACGGCCUGAGCGGGUGACCGGCAACAUGGGUACUGGGCUACGUCCGAGGCUCGUAAGGGGGGGGGAAUUGGGGGCAAUUGGAGAAUGGGCGAAAGACGGAUGCAGCGAGGCCGAGUGGGGGCUGAAGGUUUUCGGGUUGUAAACCUCUUUCGGUAUCGAACGGGUAGGUGGAGAAGAAGCGCCGGCUAACUACGUGCCAGCCGCCGCGGUAAUAC